CACGUUCCCGUACGGUCACCGAAGUUAAGCAAUGUCGAGUCUGGACAGUACUUAGACGAGGUACCGCUUGGGAAAACUAGGUGCUGUAAG